GCGAAGGUGGCGGAAUUGGUAGACGCGCUAGCUUCAGGUGUUAGUGUCCUUACGGACGUGGGGGGUCGAGAACCCCCCCACACCCCA
rnacentral:tRNA from 1 species